GUGUGCUCCCUUCACAUACACUAAAACUGGAACGAUACAGGGAAGAUUAGUGUGGCCCCUGUGCAGGGAUUGACACGCGAAUUCAUGGAGCUUUCCAAAAAAAA